AUUGAACGCUGGCGGAAUGCUUUACACAUGCAAGUCGAGCGGCAGCGCGGGGCAACCUGGCGGCGAGCGGCGAACGGGUGAGUAAUACAUCGGAACGUGCCCAGACGUGGGGGAUAACUACUCGAAAGAGUGGCUAAUACCGCAUACGAUCUAAGGAUGAAAGCGGGGGAUCGCAAGACCUCGCGCGUCUGGAGCGGCUGAUGGCAGAUUAGGUAGUUGGUGGGGUAAAGGCUUACCAAGCCUGCGAUCUGUAGCUGGUCUGAGAGGAUGAUCAGCCACACUGGGACUGAGACACGGCCCAGACUCCUACGGGAGGCAGCAGUGGGGAAUUUGGACAAUGGGCGAAAGCCUGAUCCAGCCAUGCCGCGUGCGGGAAGAAGGCCUUCGGGUUGUAACCGCUUUAGUCCGGAAAAGGGGUGCGAGGAGUAAUACCUUGUGCUUUGAUGGUACUGGAAGAAUAAGACACCGGCUAACUACGUGCCAGCAGACCCGG
rnacentral:rRNA from 1 species